AAAAUACGACAAACUCAGAUACAUAAAACAGAAAAACUUCCACACUUAUUCAACAAUAGUUGAGAACAAGCCAAUUUAACAGGUAGAGAAACACAAUUAAAAAAAAAAAAAGACAACAGUAUAUAAAAAGCUCAUUCGAAGGCUUACCCGGAGAAUCUUCCACUUCACCAUAAGAGGAGGAAGAGAAGUCGCCUAAGGAAAUGAGGCCGUGGCCUGGUCACCGUCCGGUUGGAGCUCUUGGAGGCGGCGAGCAAUC
rnacentral:lncRNA from 1 species